CAGUCAGUCUAGAGGGCAUUAUAAAUUAAUAAAAAAUUAAAAAAAAUUAAUACCUUGGAAAACUAGCUUUGUUUGUGCAAGAGAUCAUGUGUGCCAAAAUUGAGGUGAUUUGGAGGUGGUUGAAAAAAUCAUCGCAUUCCGGAGGGGCCAUUUGGUCUAACUUAAGCCAGUUUUUGAACAUACGUGAUUUUUUCCACCACCUCCAAAUCACCCAAAUUUUCUUGUACAUGGUGACCCACAUGUGCCAAACAUGGCUAUGAAAGAAAAUUUGGAAAAAUAAUACUUUACAAUGCCCCCUUGAGGUAUAGGCCGAUGGUUUGACCAGUCAGUCUAGCGGGCAUUAUAAAUUAAUAAAAAAUUCAAAAAAAUCAAUACCUUGGAAAACUAGCUUUGUUUGUGCAAGAGAUCAUGUGUGCAAAAAUUGAGGUGAUUUCGAGGCAGUCGAAAAAAUCAUCGCAUUCCGGAGGGGCCAUUUGGUGUAAACUUAAGCCAGUUUUUGAACAUACGUGAUUUUUUCCACCACCUCCAAAUCACCCAAAUUUUCUUUUACAUGGUGACCCACAUGUGCCAAACAUGGCUAUGAAAGAAAAUUUGGAAAAAUAAUACUUUACAAUGCCCCCUUGAGGUAUAGACCGAUGGUUUGACCAGUCAGUCN
rnacentral:lncRNA from 1 species